GGGUGAGUCGACCCCUAAGGCGAGGCCGAAAGGCGUAGUCGAUGGGAAACGGGUUAAUAUUCCCGUACUUGGUGUUACUGCGAAGGGGGGACGGAGAAGGCUAUGUUGGCCGGGCGACGGUUGUCCCGGUUUAAGCGUGUAGGUGUGUGUUCCAGGUAAAUCCGGUUCACUUUAACACUGAGGCGUGACGACGAGGCACUACGGUGCUGAAGCAACAAAUGCCCUGCUUCCAGGAAAAGCCUCUAAGCAUCAGGUAACAUCAAAUCGUACCCCAAACCGACACAGGUGGUCAGGUAGAGAAUACCAAGGCGCUUGAGAGAACUCGGGUGAAGGAACUAGGCAAAAUGGUGCCGUAACUUCGGGAGAAGGCACGCUGACACGUAGGUGAAGUGAUUUACUCACGGAGCUGAAGUCAGUCGAAGAUACCAGCUGGCUGCAACUGUUUAUUAAAAACACAGCACUGUGCAAACACGAAAGUGGACGUAUACGGUGUGACGCCUGCCCGGUGCCGGAAGGUUAAUUGAUGGGGUCAGCGCAAGCGAAGCUCCUGAUCGAAGCCCCGGUAAACGGCGGCCGUAACUAUAACGGUCCUAAGGUAGCGAAAUUCCUUGUCGGGUAAGUUCCGACCUGCACGAAUGGCGUAAUGAUGGCCAGGCUGUCUCCACCCGAGACUCAGUGAAAUUGAACUCGCUGUGAAGAUGCAGUGUACCCGCGGCAAGACGGAAAGACCCCGUGAACCUUUACUAUAGCUUGACACUGAACAUUGAGCCUUGAUGUGUAGGAUAGGUGGGAGGCUUUGAAGCGUGGACGCCAGUCUGCGUGGAGCCGACCUUGAAAUACCACCCUUUAAUGUUUGAUGUUCUAACGUGGACCCGUGAUCCGGGUUGCGGACAGUGUCUGGUGGGUAGUUUGACUGGGGCGGUCUCCUCCUAAAGAGUAACGGAGGAGCACGAAGGUUGGCUAAUCCUGGUCGGACAUCAGGAGGUUAGUGCAAUGGCAUAAGCCAGCUUGACUGCGAGCGUGACGGCGCGAGCAGGUGCGAAAGCAGGUCAUAGUGAUCCGGUGGUUCUGAAUGGAAGGGCCAUCGCUCAACGGAUAAAAGGUACUCCGGGGAUAACAGGCUGAUACCGCCCAAGAGUUCAUAUCGACGGCGGUGUUUGGCACCUCGAUGUCGGCUCAUCACAUCCUGGGGCUGAAGUAGGUCCCAAGGGUAUGGCUGUUCGCCAUUUAAAGUGGUACGCGAGCUGGGUUUAGAACGUCGUGAGACAGUUCGGUCCCUAUCUGCCGUGGGCGCUGGAGAACUGAGGGGGGCUGCUCCUAGUACGAGAGGACCGGAGUGGACGCAUCACUGGUGUUCGGGUUGUCAUGCCAAUGGCACUGCCCGGUAGCUAAAUGCGGAAGAGAUAAGUGCUGAAAGCAUCUAAGCACGAAACUUGCCCCGAGAUGAGUUCUCCCUGAGACUUAAAGUCUCCUGAAGGAACGUUGAAGACGACGACGUUGAUAGGCCGGGUGUGUAAGCGCAGCGAUGCGUUGAGCUAACCGGUACUAAUGAACCGUGAGGCUUAACCUUAC
rnacentral:rRNA from 1 species